GUUAUUGUCGGAGUUUUGGUGGGGUGGACUUGGAAACCGAAAUGGGCUAAUUUGGGAAGAGAUUCUAAGUCGACAUCGACUUCUUUUUCCUUGUUGGGAUCAAUUCCGAGCUUCAAUUCCUUGAACUUUCAGAUGCCCAGCUGCAUACUUAGCUCCUUCGAUGGGAAAGAUGAGAAGGAAACUUCCUCCCCGCCGUCAAGUCCUGUUUCUGACUCCAGUUCGACAGAACUUGAAGGAGAAAAUUUGAGAGGUGUGAAUGAGGAUGAUUUGGAGUACUUAUGUAAGCUAGUUGAAGAGAAAGAUGGAGGACCUGCGUGGAUUAAAAUGAUGGAUCGCUCUACUUCAAAUAUGAGUUAUCAAGCAUGGAGAAGAGAUCCUGAGACUGGACCUCCACAAUAUAGAAGUAGAACAGUGUAUGAAAAUGCAACACCGGAGAUUGUGAGGGAUUUCUUUUGGGAUGAUGAUUUUCGGUCAAAAUGGGAUGACAUGCUUAUAUCUGCUACAACUUUGGUAGAAUGCCCAACAACAGGAACCAUGGUAGUUCAUUGGGUGCGCAAGUUUCCUUUCUUCUGUAGUGACAGAGAGUAUAUAAUAGGGCGACGAAUUUGGGAAGCAGGACGAUCAUAUUACUGUGUCACAAAGAGUGUACCAUGUUCCUCUGUACCAAGACGCAACAAACCAAGACGGGUUGAUUUGUACUAUUCGA
rnacentral:misc_RNA from 1 species